UGAAAACAAGUGCCGAAUAAUUUUUUUCGUAUAUAUCUAAAUCAAGAAGAAGAAUCGAUCAGAUUUCGAAAUCGAGCUUCCAACGAAUUCGGUGAUCGAGAACAGAGGAAGAGAACGAGUUUUAUCUCAUAUAACAAUUUGGGAUACCUUUUCACGGGUAAUAAAGCAAGAGUGGGUCCUCGUGAAACGAUGAAGUGGGUAUUAGGAUUCUCUCGAAUUAACCUUCCUUCAGUAUGAAACGGCCUGAAAAAAAAAAGAAAUUAAUUCGGGAUUUCCAUUUUUCCUGACAAACCUUUUAACCCUUAACGCACUCGAGAAGCGAAUUCAUUACCUGCCAAUUGGCUUUUUGCGUAGAGAGAGACAAAGUUUCGGUGGUGAAAUCGACGGAUGAUGUUACUUAAGCGAGGUAUAAAAAUGUACGAUGAAAAGUUCCAAGAAUUUUCAUCCAUUGGAAAAAAUAUGAACAAACUUUUCAAUUAUUUUAUUCUUCUACAAUUGCCAAGUUCAGAAGAAAUAUAUUUUCUUCUUUUUCUUAUAAUGCCCUUCGCAUUUACAGUCUCCAACGUCAAGCUCUCGGAAAGAGACCCGCAUAAGAAUUGAAUUCGCGCAAAUUUUCGAAAUAUCGCGUCUCGUCUCGUCGCGAAGGGGCGUCGAAAUCGUACGUCCCUCGAGCAACGACCGGCAAAAAUUGUUGACCCCUGAGGGGGGCAGGGAGGGGGAUAAGAGGGCGGGUAGAUAUAUAAGAAGCAGAUGCGUCUGUCAUUAAUAUGAGCCGGCCAAGCUAUUAAUAACCGGUUAAUGAGGCCUCUCGGUCCCUCCCUCCCCGUGUCGUGCGUGUAUGCACCAGUGAUCCCGCGUGUGACGGACGCGCGCGUGUUUGUAACGAGGCGCAUUGUUGCGGAGGAGCGUCGUCAAAGCCCUUCGAGAGAUCCUCGUGAUUUAUAAUCACCAGCCCUCCUCCUCUUGGCGGCAAAUUUUCGGCCUCCUCGAGGGAUGAUUUUUAAUUUUCCUUUAAACGGAUAUCGUUCACUUUCGAGCAAGCUAUUCAACUAGGAUUUUAACGAGAGGAGGAAACGUUCCGGAGGACAGCUGUUCGACACGGGACAAACUACCGUCAAAUUGCACGUUGCCGCGAGCGGAGGUUAGGUUCGGAAACGAAAUAAAUAAGCGGGGAAAUAUCGAUGUCCGUCAUCUUUGUAUCGCCAGAAUACUUCCUUUUCGCGGUUAUAUUCGUAAUUCGACUUGUAAGGAGUAGGAAUUCGAUCUAACUUUUGCCAACUUCGAUAUUUCUCAACGUCCACCUCCACUCGUUUCCACAAACGUGGAGAACCUCCCCUCCUCGGAUAUAAUAAUUACAACCGUUCGAGAAUCCGAGGAGGAUGAAACGGUUGGAGGGAAAUUCAGGGGGGAAAAAUGGCACGCGAGGACGGAAGUGGGGGGAGGGUGAACGGUAAUUAAAUGAGAACCCCGGCGUACGAGCGCGAGGAACGCCCACGCCAUGCAUCAAGCAUGACGUGGAUAGGUAAUGCUGCCGCGGAGAAGAUGGAGAAGAUGGUCCUCGAAGAUACAGGCCCUCCGGUUCCUACGUUAGUUGGGGUCAGCUAUCUCGCGCGACCCAUCUCCGCCUAUCCAAUCACACACAGCAACUAUGGCACGCAAGCGAUAAUACACGGUGUCCCAAUUAUCCCGCGACACGGCAGGCCUCUCUUCUCCAAGUAUCUUUUUCCUUUUUCUUCGAAAUCUGUCUUUCUCUUUAUAAAUUCUUCCUCCUCCUUCUUCUCGGCCGAGUGUUGUUAUUUCGAGAGAAAUAAUCUCUCGAGAGAUGGCGGGCGAACGAGGAGGAGGAGGAGAGCCUUUUCGUUGUGUAUGGAGGAUAUAUAUAUAUAUGUACGUAGGCGAGGGCGACAGAGUUAAUGAACGGUUGCGCGUAAUGAAAAUGUCCGUGCGAGGUGACGUUGAACGAGCAGCGUGGAAAGGGUGAAGAGAUAAUGACGACGUGCGCACAAGUGGAGUAAAUUGUGGGACAUAUCGAAGGGAGAUGGGAUGUUGCCAGUUUAAGGAUCCCGGCCUGAUGGGGGACGUUGCUGGAAACAAAGAAGUCGAGACGUUAUUGGGGUUAUGGUAAUUAUAGUUAUUAGGUGCCUGUAUAUAUAUAUAUAUUCUUGUGACGUAAGAUAUUCUUCUUGGAGAAACGAGGAGGAUAAAUAUUUUUGUCAAAGAAGAUCUGGCAUUGUCGGAAUUGAUCGAAGAGGGAGAUUGGAAAAGGAAUUGGAGGAGGAGCGGGCGCACAGGUGAGAGCGAGGAUGCAAUUAUCGAAAGACAGCGAUGGAGGUUAACCACGCCCCUGUCCCCUCGAGCGGCCAAUCGCGGCUGUCGCUGGUGUCGCCCUGCCGCGGGGACACAGCUCGGCGACAUUCCGACUCGACGGGAACGAAUCACGCGACGCUUUCCACUCGCGACACGGCACCACUUUCCCGGCCAAUCAACGGAAUCCCUCGUUCCCGUUCCCGACGACCGUCUCGACGAUUCCUAUUGCUUGCCAUUUUACGUUUCUUCCCGUUACUUAAUAUACUCGAACAGAUUAAACGAACGAACGUUAACGUAAUACGCGAGUAUUCAUGAAUCCCAACGAUCCCGCGGCAAAUAUUAUACGUUCUCCUUAAAAAUCUUGAUAUUCGCAUCGAUGAUUCCGAAUCGUUCUAAAAUCGUGUAAAAAUUUCCAGGUAACUGGAUAUUGUAUCGCGAAGAAAGUUUAAAUUUUCGGAGAAGAGAUUCGGCCAACAAAAUCGGAGAAGUUUGCGGAGGGCCCCACCCACGGCGAAGGGCGGCGACCCGGCGAAAUCUGUCGCACGCUCGAGAAGAGUGGCGGUUGGUUGACACUGGGGGGAGGGAGGGGAGGAGGCCAGUGCUGGCGCGGAUGCGGGGAGGCAUGCGACACUCGGCGCGGAGCGGGGAGAGGGUGGCUCGCGCGGGGAGUGACAAUCGCGAGAGGACUGUGACAGGGACUCGAGCGAAUCAGGAGGGUUGGCGACGUCCUGGAGGACGUCAGGGCGCAAGCGCCUGUGACCGCUGGACACGAGGGCGACACAUCGAUCCGAGCUUCUACGACCUUCUCCCCUUCCUCCAGCUUUCCACUUCCUCCUUUCCUUCCUUAUCUUUUUCCUUCUGCUUCGACUGCCGAUCCAAUGCGCCCUCGAGUGAGCCUCGAUAAUAAAAGUCUUAUUCGAAAAGUGUUAUUCGAUCUCGAAAAAGAAGAAUAAAUUUAAAUCUUGGUUUUAAUUUAUGAUAAUCUGUUACGCACGAAUAUAGAAAUAUUCGCGAUAUCGGCAUUGCUCUUCGUGUCGGGCCGCGAAUAGCGUGAGAACCGGCUCUCCAACGUGAAAUUCCAAACGUGGACGUCGCCAUAACACGUGUGAAUCGUUUCGAUCUCCUCUUUUCCAAUUCAAUUUUUAUACAAUCCCCUUAUAUUUUAAAUUUAUGUAAUGGAACAAGAAAAAAUUAUAACGUUUGGUCCAAUGUUUUCAUCGAUUUUUUAUCAAUAAUACACACAUAUAUAUAUA